rnacentral:rRNA from 1 species
AUUGAACGCUGGCGGCAGGCCUAACACAUGCAAGUCGGGCGAGAGGCGGACGGGUGAGUAAGGUAUGGGGAUCUGCCUGAGGGCGGGGGAUAACUACUGGAAACGGUAGCUAAUACCGCAUACCAUCAGAUGAACCCAUAUGGGAUUAGCUGGUAGGUAAGGUAACGGCGUACCUAGGCGACGAUCCCUAGCGUGUCUGAAAGGAUGAUCAGCCACACUGGGACUGAGACACGACCCAGACUCCUACGGGAGGCAGCAGUGGGGAAUAUUGCACAAUGGUCGCAAGCCUGAUGCAGCCAUGCCGCGUGUAUGAAGAAGGCCUUCGGGUUGUAAAGUACUUUCAGUCGGGAGGCGUUACCGACAGAAGAAGCACCGGCUAACUCCGUGCCAGCCGCCGCGGUAAUUC